GACGAACGCUGGCGGCGUGCUUAACACAUGCAAGUCGAACGGAAAGGCCCUGCGUUUGUGGGGUGCUCGAGUGGCGAACGGGUGAGUAACACGUGAGUAACAUGCCCUUGACUUUGGGAUAACUUCAGGAAACUGGGGCUAAUACAGGAUAGGAGCUCCUGAUGCAUGGUGGGGGAUGGAAAGAUUCGGCGGUGGGGGAUGGACUCGCGGCUUAUGAGCUUGUUGGUGGGGUAGGGGCUUACCAAGGCUUCGAUGGGUAGCCGGCCUGAGAGGGUGCUCGGCCACCCUGGAACUGAGCCCCGGUCCAGACUCCUACGGGAGGCAGCAGUAGGGAAUCUUCCGCAAUGGGCGCAAGCCUGACGGAGCAACGCCGCGUGAGUGACGAAGGUCUUCGGAUCGUAAACCUCUGUUAUUAGGGAAGAACAUAUGUGUAAGUAACUGUGCACAUCUUGACGGUACCUAAUCAGAAAGCCGCGGCUAACUACGUG
rnacentral:rRNA from 1 species